GAUGAACGCUGGCGGCGUGCCUAAUACAUGCAAGUCGAGCGAACAGACGAGGAGCUUGCUCCUCUGACGUUAGCGGCGGACGGGUGAGUAACACGUGGAUAACCUACCUAUAAGACUGGGAUAACUUCGGGAAACCGGAGCUAAUACCGGAUAAUAUAUUGAACCGCAUGGUUCAAUAGUGAAAGACGGUUUUGCUGUCACUUAUAGAUGGAUCCGCGCCGCAUUAGCUAGUUGGUAAGGUAACGGCUUACCAAGGCGACGAUGCGUAGCCGACCUGAGAGGGUGAUCGGCCACACUGGAACUGAGACACGGUCCAGACUCCUACGGGAGGCAGCAGUAGGGAAUCUUCCGCAGUGGGCGAAAGCCUGACGGAGCAACGCCGCGUGAGCGAUGAAGGUCUUCGGAUCGUAAAACUCUGUUAUUAGGGAAGAACAAAUGUGUAAGUAACUAUGCACGUCUUGACGGUACCUAAUCAGAAAGCCACGGCUAACUACGU
rnacentral:rRNA from 1 species